rnacentral:rRNA from 1 species
GACGAACCGUGCGAACGUUAUUCGGAAUCACUGGCUUAAAGCGCGUGUAGGCGGAUGGCCGCGUCGGCCGCUGAAAGCCCCCGGCUCAACCGGGGAAGCCGGCGCCGAAACGGGCUGUCUGGAGGGGAGUAGGGGGACCUGGAACUUCCGGUGGAGCGGUGAAAUGCGUUGAGAUCGGAAGGAACGCCCGUGGCGAAAGCGAGGUCCUGGGCUCUCACUGACGCUGAGACGCGAAAGCCAGGGGAGCGAACGGG